CACCUUAUCCCUCCAAAUUAAUUGGUGAGACCCAACUACUAAUUAUAUACCCACCUUAUAUCUCCAAAACAAAACAAUUUCCAAACAAAAAAAAUAUGAGGCCCAAUUCAAAAACAAACAAAAGAGGCCCAAUGUUCACUCUCCUACCCCACUUUCUCUCUCUCUCCUUCUUAUCUUCUUCUUCUUCUCUAUCUUCUCUCUACUCGCCUCUCUCUCGAGAAAGAACGCAGCAGCCGUCCCUCCCCUUUCCGUCGCUCUCUCUCCGGCUCGACGCCGCCGUAGGGCUGUCGCUGGGGUCGCCGGUAAGUCGCGAAGCCGCUACUGCCCCGCCGCCUCUGUGCGCCCGCCGUCGCAGAGUCGCCGGGGAGGUGCUGCUGCUGUCGCGUCGCCGGAGGGCUGCUGGUCGCCGACCACCGUCGCUGGAGUCGCCGUCGGUCGUCGCUCCUGGAGCAGAGGCAGCCCAGCCGCUGGAGCCGUCGGGAACCGCCGCUGUCCGCCACUACCCCUGCUGCCGGAAGUUUCCCCCUCCCCUUAGCCACUCCGAACAACCCCGAUUCAACCCGCCGGAUACGUUUUUAACGCAAAAUGUGAAGGGGUAGAGAAAGGGAUACAUGAAGGAGCUUGUGGAUUAAUGUGUGACCUUUGGUUUGUAGGAUUAAUGGUGGAAGAUGGAAGAGUUGGAGACUUGGAGAGUCCACCACCUAUUCGGCCGAGAGGGUGGAAGAAGGAAGAAGAAGGGUGUUGGGCUUGAUCCCACAUUUUGAUUUAAUUUGUUUUGGGCUCAAUAGUUGCAAGCCCAAGUUUGUAUAUUUAUUAUUUGGCUAGAUUCUUAAAUAGUUAGGGCCCAAGCCAUUUUUUUUUGUAGAUAACCAUUUGGACUCUAAUUUAAUUUGAGAAGCCCAAAAAUAAAUAUACGUACUUUAUAUUCUCGUA